rnacentral:rRNA from 1 species
UACCUACGGGAGGCAGCAGUGAGGAAUAUUGGUCAAUGGGCGGAAGCCUGAACCAGCCAAGUCGCGUGAGGGAAUAAGGCCCUACGGGUCGUAAACCUCUUUUGCCGGGGAGCAAGGGCGGGGACGUGUCCCGGCCCGGAGAGUACCCGCAGAAUAAGCAUCGGCUAACUCCGUGCCAGCAGCCGCGGUAAUACGGAGGAUGCGAGCGUUAUCCGGAUUUAAUGGGUUUAAAGGGUGCGUAGGCGGCCUGUUAAGUUAGUGGUUAAAUGUCGGGGCUAAACCCCGGAUUGCCAUUAAAACUGGCG